AUUGAACGCUGGCGGCAUGCUUUACACAUGCAAGUCGAACGGUAACAGGGUGCUUGCACCGCUGACGAGUGGCGAACGGGUGAGUAAUGCGUCGGAACGUGCCGAGUAGUGGGGGAUAACGCAGCGAAAGUUGUGCUAAUACCGCAUACGUACUGAGGUAGAAAGUGGGGGACCUUCGGGCCUCACGCUAUUCGAGCGGCCGACGUCUGAUUAGCUAGUAGGCGAGGUAAGAGCUCACCUAGGCGACGAUCAGUAGCGGGUCUGAGAGGAUGAUCCGCCACACUGGGACUGAGACACGGCCCAGACUCCUACGGGAGGCAGCAGUGGGGAAUUUUGGACAAUGGGCGCAAGCCUGAUCCAGCCAUGCCGCGUGUCUGAAGAAGGCCUUCGGGUUGUAAAGGACUUUUGUCAGGGAGGAAAUCCUAGUGGCUAAUAACUACUGGGGAUGACAGUACCUGAAGAAUAAGCACCGGCUAACUACGUGCCAGCCGCCGCUGUAAAAC
rnacentral:rRNA from 1 species